rnacentral:rRNA from 1 species
UACGUAGGGGGCUAGCGUUGUCCGGAAUCAUUGGGCGUAAAGAGCGUGUAGGCGGCCCGGUAAGUCCGCUGUAAAAGUCAAAGGCUCAACCUUUGAAUGUCAGUGGAUACUGCCGGACUAGAGUCCGGAAGAGGCGAGUGGAACUCCUGGUGUAGCGGUGGAAUGCGCAGAUAUCAGGAAGAACACCAACGGCGAAGGCAGCUCGCUAGGACGGUACUGACGCUGAGACGCGAAAGCGUGGGGAGCGAACAGG